UCCUACUUAUGCCACCUUAGUGGGGAGCGAGAGCUCUGGCGGCAGCUCCGGGGUGGGGAUUUGAGCUCCGGAGUCGGAAGAUCUGGGUUUGCUUCCGGGCCUAGCCACUCGCUGGCCGAGUGACCUUAGGCAAGUCACUCUAUAAUUUGUUUGCGCCUCAGUUUCCUCCUCUGCCUAUCAUCAGUGUGUGUAUGGAAUUGGAAGCUCUCUUCAAAGUGUCGGUUUACAUAAAGAUGAUUGUUGUUUUUAUUUUUCUUUGAGUUGCAAGAAGACAUAGCAAUUGCUCAUUCCCUGAAAUUAAGUUCAGGAACCUUUUCUUGGAGUUGGAGAUCGGAAGGUUCCCUGAACUUCUUCUGUACAGAAACACGUGGGAAAGUGUUUUCUAGGGGAAUGAGUAAAUCCUUCAGUAGCAAGUUUUCCUAAGGGGCUAUGACCCAGAAGAGUUUAGAACAUUUUUUGCCACCGGGAGGAAACUGAGGCCUACAUGCCAUUUGGGACCCUUCACAACCAAUAUGAAGCCCCCAUUUGAGUCCCUGGUAUAUGUGAGCUGCUUCUUAACGCAUAAUGGCUGUUUCGGGUAACAUCACUUCACUGCUUGGCUUUUAUUCUAAGCCCUUUCCUCUCACCAUAGGGUGCCUAAAAGGGUGGCUGAUGCAUAUGGUACAAUGGCACCCAAUAUAAAGCAGCUACAAUUAGGAGUGAAUGUGUUCUCUAGUAACAAGAAGUGUAAUCUUUGGCCCAGCGAUUGUUUUCUGCUGCUUGUACUGGUGCCUGACUACUUUUCUUUCGUUAUCUAUUUUUUACAACCGUGAUUGACAUCCAUUAUUUGCUCCUAUUUUGUAUCCCUGGUUUACGUGGUUGAUAGUGAACAGGCUUAUUUUAAAAGGUGCUGCCAAAACCAGUUAAUGGUGCACAUGGAUUUUUAGCAGGCGGGCUCCUUGGAACAGACUGAACCAGGUGUUGGAUUCCUGAAGAUAUUUGGGAUUGUUUUGUUUUGUUUCGUUUGUUUUUGUUUUUUAACUGAAGGUUAAAGGUUUCUGAAAAGUUUUGUUGGACUCUGGCUGAAACACAGAAUCAGUAUAUUUGGAAUCAUUUUGAAGCUUAACUUUUUCCUAGCCAGCCUUGUAUUCUAAUUGCUUGCAAAUGUGAGACUGAAUGGCCAAAAUGCCGUUUGUCUGUUUAUUGUCAGCUGCUUUUAUCAAAUUCCAGGCCAUUAUCCUGCAAACACUAUUAAAAUGUUUGAACAGUUGGCUUUCAAACAUUUUCGUUUUGUGGCGUGGUGCUUAUCAAGUGGUACAGCUCUCCAAGCAAGUGAACACAAACAAACAUAUUUAAGUGUAUUUUGUAUGAUUAGAUGUUACCAAUUCUGAUAUUUUAUUCAAAUGUCUAAAAAAAAAUAAGUUGACUAUAUUCCCUUUACCAAAGGGCCAGAGACAAAUGGUUUUCUUUCAAGAGAAAUGACUGUUUUGAAGAAAAACUGUGUUGGUCUUAGCUCUUUUGUAAUUAAAUCUGGAUGUACCUCAAAAGACUCUUUAAGACUGUGGUGUUAAAAGGCUUUCCUCUGGAGAAAGAGAAAAAAAAAAUCAACUGGAACUUAAAAGCUUGAAAUUCCAUGGCAAAACAUGGAUGUCUCAGAUUGGAGGUUCAUGAAGUAUUUGCAGUAGUUGGAGUGGAUACACUUUUCAGUGUAGCUGCCACCAUGGACUCCAGGCUCCCAGAUUUUCAAGAACUGGACCUGUGACCCAGAAGAGCUUGUCAAGAUAUGACAGGAACUCUGGAGGCGGACGUUUUGUAUUCAAUUUUGGAACUGUUGAUCUUGCUGUGAAUAAAGAGGCAACAACUCACCAAGCACUGCCACCAGCACUGUUACUGGGAACUUGAAGACUCAAGUUUCUGUCCAGACCCUCAGUGCAAACUGACAACACUCCAUCCAAAGUGAACUACGUCCCGUGCCUCCUGAUUGCUGAAUGUUCACCUGGACCCUCCAAUGACCUUGCUUCUGCUACUCCAUCUGCCUACAGACCUGGUACUUGGAUUUUUGUCCAUGGUGAUUCCUACCACCUUACUACUGAAGAAGACACCAUUCCAGUGGACCACUGUGACCCAAGAAGCAUUCAGCCAUCAUGAUGUGGCCUUUACCUCCACUCCUGUCCUACUCUGCCCAGAUUUAGCACAGCCCUUUAUAGUGCAGUCAAGAGUCUUCAAGCCAAAUAACUGAAGCUAUUUUAUGACAACGAAGGCCAAGUUUAUUCCAUAAAUGUAUAGUUCAAUUCUGCAGUUUAUUCUUCAGAGACACAUAGUAAACUUGGACCAGGGGAUUUUGUUUUGUUUAUAUUGUCAACACUGUCUGAAGAAAGGCAUCAUCUCUGAGAACAGCAUUGGCCCCUACUCCACAAUCUCAAAUGAUUGAAGUUUCAUGGACUGCCUAGGAUCCUGUCAAGGUCACUGGACUCUUGUUACUUUCCUACUUCAAGUCUGUAGCUAUCUACUGAAUGAGAAAGCAGAUAUUCUGACUCAUUGGGAUCGAAACCAAGGCAUAUUGAAUUCCUCAUAGUAUCAUCUUCGGGUUACUCAGGAACCAAAACUUUUCACACCAAUUUUAAGAAAUUCUACUGAGGAAUCCCUUUACUUAACCAUCUCAGAAGGCUUCAACCAGAUUCCUGAAAAGGCUUCUUGAUAUAUCAAGAUAGAACCUACAUGCAUUUUGUGAACAACUUAUCACUGAUUUUCCAAAGGCUUUGUGCUCAUGAAGUUCUUUGAAGGAAAGCUAUGUGGAAGUCCAGAGUAAAGUGAAGCUGCUCUGGAUGAAGUAGUGAAGUACAACCUGCUACAACCAUCUUCCUUUACCACCAUGGUGAUGCCUAAAGGGACUUCCUUAUGUAAAAUUCUUCCGAAAAUCCUGCUUGAAACCACUCCCCUAGACGUAUUUGACCUGAAUGGCAUUCUCUUCUUUUAUGUACUUUCAACUCAAAACACUUCAUACUCAGUUGAUGCUCAACAUGUUUGGAGAUGCUUUAUCCAGAGAAUGAUGAUAAUACAGCAUUGUCUAAUGAAGCUUUAUUAAUAGCAUUCCAUCCAAGGUGGACUUCAUGGAGAACAAUGAAUAUGUAUCCUACACUGAAGAACCCCAUUAACUUUCAGAAACCUCUAACUAGUGGUACUGGAAGUACAUGACUUGGAAGUCUAUGUAAAUUGCCUGAGAGCUGGUAUUGAAGCUGAUGCCUCCUUGAGGCCAUCUUAGACCAAUUUGUUCAUUUGACCUCUCCUCAUUAACUAUGGUAUUCCAUGUACAAAGGAUAACCAUUAACUAUGAAGCAGAAUUGAAAUACAAUUUUUCCUAAAGGGAUUUGCAACCUGGUUAUUAUUCAUUGUCUCAAGUUUCAAGUCAUGUUGAUGCAACUAGUAGUUAUUAAACUGCUCAAUGUUUAUUUGUUAUUUAAUAAAUACUCUUUCCAGGGCUUAAAAAACCAAAACUAAAUUUCUCCAACACGUCUAUACUUGUCUAUUCAAAAUUAACUACUCACCACUACAUGGAACAGAUGAUCCUGAAGACACACUCUUUGAGCAUCCUUUAUCAUAGGUGUGACUUAAAAUGUGGCUGGAAAGUUUCCCUCUACCCAGUGAAAUAGUAAAUGAUUAGUCUUCAUGCCUGAUACCAUCGACUGUAUGUGUGUGAUAGGCAAAGUUUGACAUAGGCAUUUGACUCUAGGCUAUGAUAGCUUGGUAAUCACUUAAAGUAGCAUAUUGUCAACCUGUUCGCUGGAAAAAUAGACUAACUUGGAAAAAAAAAUCAUCUAUAAAUGACAGCUAAGGAUUUUUUUUUCAGUAUUCCUGAGUUUCUGUCCUUGGGAUAUUUCAAUGGAAUUUCACCUGUCUCUUCACUUAACAGAGUGACUGACUUUAUUCCUUACUAUGAAGUAUUCUUUCUUAGGACAUUAAGAUUACUUUUGUAGAAAGGAUAAAAUUCCUGAUUAUCCAAAUCAUCAUAGUAAAUAAGACUUCAAUUUGUGACCUGAGAAAAAUCUCAUUUCUCUACUUUGUAGUCAAUUUAAGGGCCAAAUGCUACUCUGAGUGCACUGGGUAAACGUUGAAACUGCCUUCUUUAUAUCCUUGUUUCUUAUCCUCUAAUCAUGGUUACAUGAUUCUCACCACAAAUCAGCAAAUCAGACUCAGAUCUGGUUAUCUAGACUGCUCACAGUUAACAAAUCAAACUCUGAAUGACUUCUGCUUGUAUAUGCAACUACGAUUUGUAAGGAAACUACAGAUUCAUUUUUCUAUUACCUCUACAUUGCUAGCUCUUUUUUUUUUUUUAGUUUAAAAACAAAACUAAGCUACACUGCCAGUUAUUCCCUCCUGCCGUACUCAGUUAAAACAAAGAAUCGGGAAUUUAAUCAGUGAUUGGAUAAGUAGAAAGAACCAAAACUUAAGGCAAAAGCCUUAAUCUAGGGCCUUUUCUACUAUCUUCAUGUCUUGGAUUUCAUCUAAAUCAACAGUGCUACCCAACCAGUCUGAGGUCUUGACUUGCUUUUAAGAUGAUUCUUAGAGAUGGGCUAUAUUACAGAAAGUGAAGACUUGAUUACCAAAGAAAGUAGAGCCAACUAUGACAAACCUGGCUCUACAAUCCUACUGCUCCCAGAUGUAGCAUAGAUUCAUAACUAGAACCUCAAGUCUGCAUUGAGGAUAGCCUUCUAAGCUGACAGUUCUUGCACAGAUGAGCAAGAAAAUGAAAGCUGCUAUACCCAACUGGCCCUUUUUAAUAUCCAAAAAUAAUGUCUGGACUAAACCCUGUGGAGUACCCAGGACAAAAACUAAUUUACAGAGCUUCAUUGUUAAUCUGCCUGUUCUAGAUUAUAACUUAAUCAUUGGUAUGGCUGGUCCUGCUUAAGUUGUUUGUCUGUUUACCUGUCUUCAGCUCUUAACCUGCCUUUUUUGACAUGCUACUGCAAUCAGACUAACUGGUUUUGAGAAGACUACAGUCAGUUUCAGCUUCUCUUGUGCCCAAUUCCACCAAGGAAUUUUGAAUAGAAGGAACCCGUACCUCACCCCACCAGAACAGGAAGGAACAUGCCGCAUAUCUUGGCCAGCAACUUUAAGUAGAGAAGCAGAGAACAACCGUGCUUAUUUUCAACGCCUGAAACAUCUAUUUGAUCUAACAGGAGUAUAGAAGGUUGACAGCAGAGUACAUUAUUUCUUUGGUAACUCAGAAAUAAAUAUGAUUGGCCCAGAAAUUGUAAAUUCACCUUGACAAGAAACAGCAACACCAAGUUUACUGCUGAACUUAAUUUACCACUAAAAUACCUUCAUAGACCUGCUUGCCAAGUAGGAGGCUAGUUUCCCUGCUUCACAUCACCAUUGUAGUGGGGCUCUGAUAAUACUGACUUGAAUGGGGACCUUAUGGUGAAUCCUAGACUAUGAUGCUAAUGGAAAUUAUUGUCUAUUCAAGUGAAUUACAGACAUCACUCCUGAUGAUUUUUAGAAUUUGAUUACCAAGGAAGAAAUACCAGCUGCUAAAAGUCAACUUUAUGGGCAGAGAUUAAGCUCUAUAUCUGGUCUUAUCCUGGAUGCUAGUUUUUAUUGCCCAGCGACCAUUUCCAUCUCACUCUUAACUUCCUGAUGAUUUUUGGAACCAUCUCUUCCAAUUUUCAGUCCUUGUGGUUUAGACAGUCUUUUUGUGCUGGACAUUUUGUUGCAACCUCAUCAAUCACAGCAAAGUCCAUCUUGACUCUAGUGAUUAGUUCAGGAAUGGAUGCAUGAUUCAAGUUUGUCCAAUGAUAAUCAACCCUAGACGUUUUCUCAGUUGUGGAGAAGUUCUCUUAGAUGCUUUAGCUUUGUAGGAGAAAACUCAAACCAACAGGGCCUACUAUGUUGAAUGAACCAGGCAGAAAAUGAAGCCAGUACAGAGGGAAAUGGAGCCAAAAGAGGAAGAGACUUAAGUUCUGAUGACCACAUUUAUGCCCCUGUAUCCAACUGUGCCUGAAGCUAAUAGUACAUCACCUAGACUUUUCAGUUAUGUGAACCAAUAAAUUCCCUUUUUUGUUUAAGUUA